rnacentral:rRNA from 1 species
ACGGGAGGCAGCAGUGGGGAAUAUUGCACAAUGGGGGAAACCCUGAUGCAGCGACGCCGCGUGAGUGAAGAAGUAUUUCGGUAUGUAAAGCUCUAUCAGCAGGAAAGAAAAUGACGGUACCUGACUAAGAAGCCCCGGCUAACUACGUGCCAGCAGCCGCGGUAAUACGUAGGGGGCAAGCGUUAUCCGGAUUUACUGGGUGUAAAGGGAGCGUAGACGGUAAGGCAAGUCUGAAGUGAAAUGCCAGGGCUCAACCCUGGAACUGCUUUGGAAACUGUCCUACUAGAGUGCAGGAGAGGUAAGUGGAAUUCCUAGUGUAGCGGUGAAAUGCGUAGAUAUUAGGAGGAACACCAGUGGCGAAGGCGGCUUACUGGACUGUAACUGACGUUGAGGCUCGAAAGCGUGGGGAUCGAACAGGAUUAGAUACCCUGGUA